AAGACACUUAGAGCGGUUCUCUCUGGUGGUAAACUCUCAUCAGCGUCAGAAGGCAUAUGUUGUCUUGGGUCAGUUUCUUCAUCUGAGAAAAGAUGAACUGUUUAUAGAAUGGUUGAAAGAUACUUGUGGAGCCAGUUCCAAACAGGCCUCCACGUGUUAAAGAGAGUGGUGUGAUUCCUUCCUGUAAGAAAUAUACUGCACCCCCAUCUCCUGAGUACAUAUUCUUUGAAAACCUCAAUCGAUUCCAUCACAUCGCUGUCAGCUGUAUGGUCUGAAGAAUACUUGAAUGCUGUUUCAAAGCUUGAUUUGUUUCUUGUGAUUUAAAACAUGAUUUAAGAUUUUUAAUGAUGGGUUCUUAAACUUUCAAUGUUCAAAUGUAAGUUUGAAAUAACUUGAACCAGCUACAACAUUAAACCAAUUUAUGCCAAUAGCUUCCACUGUGAAACAACACAUCCAAUUUUAAAAAAAUAAAAUAAAAAUAAUUCAAAACA